rnacentral:rRNA from 1 species
UACGUAGGGGGCAAGCGUUGUCCGGAUUCAUUGGGCGUAAAGAGCGUGUAGGCGGCCAGAUAGGUCAGCUGUGAAAACUCGAGGCUCAACCUCGAGACGUCGGUUGAAACCAUCUGGCUAGAGUCCGGAAGAGGAGUGUGGAAUUCCCGGUGUAGCGGUGAAAUGCGCAGAUAUCGGGAAGAACACCCGUGGCCGAAGGCGGCACUCUGGGA